rnacentral:rRNA from 1 species
AUUGAACGCUGGCGGCAGGCCUAACACAUGCAAGUCGAACGAGUGGCGGACGGGUGAGUAAUGUCUGGGAAACUGCCCGAUGGAGGGGGAUAACUACUGGAAACGGUAGCUAAUACCGCAUACCAUCGGAUGUGCCCAGAUGGGAUUAGCUAGUAGGUGGGGUAACGGCUCACCUAGGCGACGGUCCCUAGCUGGUCUGAGAGGAUGACCAGCAACACUGGAAAGGAGACAAGGGCCAGAGCCCUACGGAAGGCAGCAGUGGGGAAUAUUGCACAAUGGGCGCAAGCCUGAUACAGCCAUGCCGCGUGUAUGAAGAAGGCCUUCGGGUUGUAAAGUACUUUCAGCGAGGAGGCGUUACGCGCAGAAGAAGCACCGGCUAACUCCGUGCCAGCAGCCGCGGUAAUUC